rnacentral:rRNA from 1 species
UACGUAGGGCCCGAGCGUUAUCCGGUAUUAUUGGGGCGUAAAGAGUACGUAGCGGUUAAGCAAGACAAUGGUUAAAUCUCCGAGCUCAACUCGGAAACCGCCGUUGUGACUGCAUAACUAGUCGAUAGCAGGGGCAAGCGGAAUUCUCGGUGUAGGAGUGAAAUCCGUUGAGAUCGAGAAGAACACCAAUGGCGAAGGCAGCUUGCUAGGUUAUUUGAGACGCUGAGGGUACGAAAAGCGUGGGUAGCGAACGGG